GUGUCAGCAGCCGCGGUAAUACGGAGGGUGCGAGCGUUGUCCGGAAUCACUGGGCGUAAAGGGCGCGUAGGUGGCCGAGCAAGGUCGCGGUGAAAGCCCGGGGCUCAACCCCGGGUCGGCCGUGGCAACUACUCGGCUUGAGCACUGUAGGGGCGGGUGGAAUUCCGGGUGUAGCGGUGGAAUGCGUAGAGAUCCGGAAGAACACCGGUGGCGAAGGCGGCCCGCUGGGCAGGAAGGCUCGCAAGAGCCGGCUGACACUGAGGCGCGACAGCGUGGGGAGCAAACAGGAUUAGAUACCCUGGUAGUCC
rnacentral:rRNA from 1 species